rnacentral:rRNA from 1 species
AUUGAACGCUGGCGGCAUGCUUUACACAUGCAAGUCGAACGGUAACAGGCCGCAAGGUGCUGACGAGUGGCGAACGGGUGAGUAAUGCAUCGGAACGUGCCCAGUCGUGGGGGAUAACUACUCGAAAGAGUAGCUAAUACCGCAUACGAUCUAUGGAUGAAAGCGGGGGACCGUAAGGCCUCGCGCGAUUGGAGCGGCCGAUGUCAGAUUAGGUAGUUGGUGGGGUAAAGGCUCACCAAGCCAACGAUCUGUAGCUGGUCUGAGAGGACGACCAGCCACACUGGGACUGAGACAUGGCCCAGACUCCUACGGGAGGCAGCAGUGGGGAAUUUUGGACAAUGGGCGCAAGCCUGAUCCAGCAAUGCCGCGUGCAGGAAGAAGGCCUUCGGGUUGUAAACUGCUUUUGUACGGAACGAAACGGCUCUGGUUAAUACCCGGGGCUAAUGACGGUACCGUAAGAAUAAGCACCGGCUAACUACGUG